rnacentral:rRNA from 1 species
ACGGAAGGCAGCAGUAGGGAAUAUUGCGCAAUGGGGGAAACCCUGAUGCAGCAACGCCACGUGUGGGAAGAAGCAUUUCAGUGUGUAAACCACUGUCGUGAGGGAAUAAUGCUUAAUUUCGGUUAAGUUGAAUGUACCUCGAAAGGAAGCACCGGCAAACUUCGUGCCAGCAGCCGCGGUAAUACGAGGGGUGCAAGCGUUGUUCGGAAUCACUGGGCGUAAAGGGAGCGCAGGCGGAGAUGCAAGCAGUCUGUACAAUACCGGGGCCCAACCCCGGACCUGCAGACUGGACUGUUUCUCUUGGAUAGUUCAGGGGCAGGCGGAAUUCCUGGUGUAGCGGUGGAGUGCGUAGAGAUCAGGAAGAACACCGAUGGCGAAGGCAGCCUGCCGGGGACUCAUCGACGCUGAGGCUCGAAAGUGCGGGUAGCAAACAGGAUUAGAUACCCUGGUA